rnacentral:rRNA from 1 species
CCUACGGGAGGCAGCAGUGGGGAAUUUUGGACAAUGGGCGCAAGCCUGAUCCAGCAAUGCCGCGUGAGUGAAGAAGGCCUUCGGGUUGUAAAGCUCUUUUGUCAGGGAAGAAACGGUGGGAGCUAAUAUCUCUUGCUAAUGACGGUACCUGAAGAAUAAGCACCGGCUAACUACGUGCCAGCAGCCGCGGUAAUACGUAGGGUGCAAGCGUUAAUCGGAAUUACUGGGCGUAAAGCGUGCGCAGGCGGUUUUGUAAGACUGUCGUGAAAUCCCCGGGCUCAACCUGGGAAUGGCGAUGGUGACUGCAAGGCUAGAGUUUGGCAGAGGGGGGUAGAAUUCCACGUGUAGCAGUGAAAUGCGUAGAUAUGUGGAGGAACACCGAUGGCGAAGGCAGCCCCCUGGGUCAAAACUGACGCUCAUGCACGAAAGCGUGGGGAGCAAACAGGAUUAGAUACCCUGGUAGUCCACGCCCUAAACGAUGUCUACUAGUUGUCGGGUCUUAAUUGACUUGGUAACGCAGCUAACGCGUGAAGUAGACCGCCUGGGGAGUACGGUCGCAAGNUUAAAACUCAAAGGAUUGACGGCUGAGACGNGCGAGACGACGACGAGGGAGGAGG